UACGAAGGGGGCUAGCGUUGCUCGGAAUCACUGGGGCGUAAAGGGUGCGUAGGCGGGUCUUUAAGUCAGGGGUGAAAUCCUGGAGCUCAACUCCAGAACUGCCUUUGAUACUGAAGAUCUUGAGUUCGGGAGAGGUGAGUGGAACUGCGAGUGUAGAGGUGAAAUUCGUAGAUAUUCGCAAGAACACCAGUGGCGAAGGCGGCUCACUGGUCCGAUACUGACGCUGAGGUGCGAAAGCGUGGGGAGCAAACAGG
rnacentral:rRNA from 1 species